CCUACGGGAGGCAGCAGUGAGGANUAUUGGACCAAUGGAGGCAACUCUGAUCCCAGCCAUGCCGCGUGCAGGAAUGACGGGCCCUAUGGGUUGUAAACUGCUUUUAUGUAGGAAGAAACACUCUCACGUGUGAGAGCUUGACGGUACUACAAGAAUAAGGACCGGCUAACUCCGUGCCAGCAGCCGCGGUAAUACGGAGGGUCCAAGCGUUAUCCGGAAUCAUUGGGUUUAAAGGGUCCGUAGGCGGGCUAUUAAGUCAGAGGUGAAAGUUUGCAGCUCAACUGUAAAAUUGCCUUUGAAACUGGUAGUCUUGAAUUAUUAUGAAGUUGGUUAGAAUAAGUANUGUAGCGGUGAAAUGCAUAGAUAUUACUUAGAAUACCAAUUGCGAAGGCAGAUCACUAAUAAUAUAUUGACGCUUGAGGGGACGAAAAGCGUUGGGGAGCGAACAGGAUUAGAUACCCUGGUAGUCCACGCCGUAAACGAUGGAUACUAGCUGUUCGGAUUUAUCUGAGUGGCUAAGCGAAAGUGAUAAGUAUCCCACCUGGGGAGUACGUUCGCAAGAAUGAAACUCAAAGGAAUUGACGG
rnacentral:rRNA from 1 species